CACUCUCGGCAACGGAUAUCUCGGCUCUCGCAUCGAUGAAGAACGUAGCAAAAUGCGAUACCUGGUGUGAAUUGCAGAAUCCCGCGAACCAUCGAGUCUUUGAACGCAAGUUGCGCCCGAGGCCACUCGGCCGAGGGCACGCCUGCCUGGGCGUCA
rnacentral:rRNA from 1 species